ACACUGAUAAAUGCUGUGGCAAGGACUGCUGUCUUGCAGGGCAUGGAAAGCCUCCCCAGCCUGAAGAUUUUGUGUAUUCUGAUGGAAAGAUUUGGUUUUCAAAUUCUGCACUUAUCAGUGGCAACUUUCUGAUGGAAAGAAAAAAACAUCUGUUGUAACUACUUACACAGCUCCUACAAAUGACAGCAAAUAUCAUGAUUUUAUAUAUCAACACUGAAACAAGAAAGGGACAAGAACUGCAGUUAUGGAAAAAAUAAAGGCACUGC